rnacentral:lncRNA from 1 species
CCUUUCCAUGCACAAAGAGUCCACGCCCUUCUCUCUUCACACCAUAAGUGGAUAGGGAUGAGUUGGUUUUCAUUUGAAUUUAAAUUUGAUUUGAAUUCAAAUAUGUAACCACUUGUCUUUAUCCUCUCACGCGGAUAAGACACGUUUUGAACUAGUUUAAAAGAGAUAGGGAGCUGGGGCGUGUGUAGAAAAAUUCUGAGAAAGAAAGUGGGG